AUUGAACGCUGGCGGCAGGCCUAACACAUGCAAGUCGAGCGGUAACACAGAGGAGCUUGCUCCUUGGGUGACGAGCGGCGGACGGGUGAGUAAUGCCUGGGGAUCUGCCCGAUAGAGGGGGAUAACUACGGGAAACUGUAGCUAAUACCGCAUAACGUCUACGGACCAAAGUGGGGGCUCUUCGGACCUCAUGCUAUCGGAUGAACCCAGGUGGGAUUAGCUAGUUGGUGAGGUAAUGGCUCACCAAGGCGACGAUCUCUAACUGGUUUGAGAGAAGGACCAGACACACUGGAACUGAGACACGGUCCAGACUCCUACGGGAGGCAGCAGUGGGGAAUAUUGCACAAUGGGCGCAAGCCUGAUGCAGCCAUGCCGCGUGUGUGAAGAAGGCCUUCGGGUUGUAAAGCACUUUCAGCGAGGAGGAAGGGUUACUAGCUAAUACCUAGUGACAUUGACGUUACUCGCAGAAGAAGCACCGGCUAACUCCGUGCCAGCAGCCGCCGUAA
rnacentral:rRNA from 1 species